rnacentral:rRNA from 1 species
UGAGUCGAGCGGAUGAGAAGAGCUUGCUCUUCGAUUCAGCGGCGGACGGGUGAGUAAUGCCUAGGAAUCUGCCUGGUAGUGGGGGACAACGUUUCGAAAGGAACGCUAAUACCGCAUACGUCCUACGGGAGAAAGCAGGGGACCUUCGGGCCUUGCGCUAUCAGAUGAGCCUAGGUCGGAUUAGCUAGUUGGUGAGGUAAUGGCUCACCAAGGCGACGAUCCGUAACUGGUCUGAGAGGAUGAUCAGUCACACUGGAACUGAGACACGGUCCAGACUCCUACGGGAGGCAGCAGUGGGGAAUAUUGGACAAUGGGCGAAAGCCUGAUCCAGCCAUGCCGCGUGUGUGAAGAAGGUCUUCGGAUUGUAAAGCACUUUAAGUUGGGAGGAAGGGCAGUAAGAUAAUACCUUGCUGUUUUGACGUUACCGACAGAAUAAGCACCGGCUAACUCUGUGCCAGCAGCCGCGGUAAUACAGAGGGUGCAAGCGUUAAUCGGAAUUACUGGGCGUAAAGCGCGCGUAGGUGGUUUGUUAAGUUGGAUGUGAAAGCCCCGGGCUCAACCUGGGAACUGCAUCCAAAACUGGCAAGCUAGAGUACGGUAGAGGGUGGUGGAAUUUCCUGUGUAGCGGUGAAAUGCGUAGAUAUAGGAAGGAACACCAGUGGCGAAGCGACCACCUGGACUGAUACUGACACUGAGGUGCGAAAGCGUGGGGAGCAAACAGGAUUAGAUACCCUGGUAGUCCACGCCGUAAACGAUGUCAACUAGCCUUGGAAUCCUUGAGAUUUUAGUGGCGCAGCUACGCAUUAAGUUGACCGCCUGGGGAGUACGGCCGCAGGUUAAAACUCAAAUGAAUUGACGGGGGCCGCACAAGCGGUGGACAGGGUUUAAUCGAAGCAACGCGAAACCUUACCGCUUGACUGCAAAAUUUCUAAAUGAUGGGCCUUCGGGCUCUGACCUGCAUGGUUCUCCUCGAGAGGUAAUCCUAAGCCUGCACCCCGGUCUUCGGAAA